rnacentral:lncRNA from 1 species
UAAAACCAUUUUCCUCUCUUCUUUGGUGUCAUUGGUCCCAGCCAACAGGGGUUCACGAGACCUGUAGACUUCUGCUUCUUCUGAGGAGCAGCUGUCUGCAUCACCCUUUUGAGGGAUCUGCUGCUGCCACAAGCAGGGCUGGUCUGGAACAACCUGCUGUGUGCACGCAGUGUAGCCUCGUGCCAUGCAGAGAUACCAGCUGAGCGCCCUGAGCAGUAGUGGCACAGCAGCGUGCUGGCACUGCUGGCUUCUUAGCUCCGCACACACGUGUGCCCUGCGUCCAGUCCUGCAGCAAGGCUGCUGGUGGCAUUGAAACGGGAGGAGUGGCUGAUCCACCACAAGGCUGUGCUGCCAUUCAGAGAGACCUGGACAGGCUGAAGAGAUUAGCAGUUUAGUAUCAUCAGUGAAUUUACUCAAAACACCUUCUAGUCCUAUAUCCUGCACCCUGGGCUCUUCACGAGCAGGUUACCGAGCCCCCCCCCACACACACACUCCAAGGCCCGGCUGUGCAGGGCCGGGCCGGGGGCGCUGCUGGCUCCGCUCGUGCCUCCUCAGCCGCCCUCACGAGGGGCCUCGGGGCAGGAAAAAAGCCCUAAAAAGAUACAAAAAGCCCUGCCUGCCGCCGUCCUCUGCUCCGGGAACAGGUCAGUGCCACUUCAUGCUCGGAGUGGAUCCCAUUGCCGGAGGGUGUCAUACAGGUGGAAUUUCAUAUGACUCGAUCUGUGCACAUUAUUUCUUGUCCUGUCAUGUGGCAGUCUAUCCAGGGACUUAUCAGGCAGAAAACAGAGGAUGAAGACGCUGUCUUCAUGAGCUGUGAAAAAUCAGAUGAUACCUAUCAGCACACAGGAGAUCAGCAUCUCUUCUGUAAGUCAGCAGUCGAAUAUAAGAAAUACCAGUAUUUACCACUGACAAAAACAAUGCUAAGUGCGUGACCACUAUGUUACAUUUCUACUGUGUUGAUAGCAAAGCUAAAGUUCUAGGUUAAAGUAAAAGUUUGCAAGAAACAGGGAAUUUAAAACUUGCUGAGGGUGCACUCAAUCUCACUGUACAUCACCAACAAAGAUGCUAAACAGCUCUGGUCCCAGUAUAGGCCUCUGAAGAGCAGCACUCAUUACUGAUCUCCUCUUGGAUGUUAAGCCAUUGACUGCAACUCUUAAGUGAGAACAUCCAGUCAAUUCCUUACACACCGAGUUGUCCAUCUGUCAAAUCCACGUUUCUUCAAUUUAGAGAGAAGGAUAUCGCGGGGGACAGUGUCAGAUGCUUUGUGCAAGUCCAGGUAGAUGAUGUCAGUUGUUCUUCUGUUGUCUGCCACUGUUGUAAUCCUGUCAUAGAAGGCCACCAGAUUUGUCAGGCAUAAUCUGCCUUUAGUGAAGAUCACAGAACCUCAGCCAUUGUGUGAUUCUGUGAUGUGCACCAGCACCAUCUGUAAUGGUAUAUGUCUUAUAUCUGCAUUUAGGUGUCAGAAACACAGUUUUGUGGCAAGCAUGAUAACAGCAGUACCCAGUGGUAAAAGUGCUAGUGGCUCUGUCCUGCUGUUGU